rnacentral:rRNA from 1 species
GGGGAAUAUUGGACAAUGGGGGCAACCCUGAUCCAGCGACGCCGCGUGGGUGAAGAAGGCCUGCGGGUUGUAAAGCCCUUUCGGUGGGGAAGAAAAGUCUCGGCCUAAUACGCUGGGACCCUGACGUAACCCACUAAAGAAGCACCGGCUAACUCUGUGCCAGCAGCCGCGGUAAUACAGAGGGUGCGAGCGUUAAUCGGAAUUACUGGGCGUAAAGCGCGCGUAGGCGGCUUUGCAAGCCGGAUGUGAAAUCCCCGGGCUUAACCUGGGAACUGCAUUCGGGACUGCAUUGCUAGAGUAUGGGAGAGGGAAGUGGAAUUUCAGGUGUAGCGGUGAAAUGCGUAGAUAUCUGAAGGAACAUCAGUGGCGAAAGCGACUUCCUGGACCAAUACUGACGCUCAUGUGCGAAAGCGUGGGGAGCAAAC